AUGGAUUGGAGCAGGACUUGCCAAGACAGGCACCCCAAUCCCAACCUAGUUUUGAGACUAGCUCUUUUUCUACAUGAAUUAUCUUUAGAUUCAAGAAAAGAGAUUUUAUUUCCAGUAGUGGCAGAGUGGCUUCCAUUUGACAAAGCCUCCUGAAGAUAACAGUUUUACUCUCUGGAAAAGAUUGAAGAAGAACUUCUUGAGGGUACCGGAAAGAUACUUGAACCAGGUAGAAACCGUUAGAGAGUGGAUGCUCUUACUGCUCUUUGCCUGCGAGCAGACUCCAGUCAGCAUCACGUGAAGCCGCUAAGACUCAGAUGGAAACUCACAAUCUUAUAAUAGAAUCUCUCCAUCUUCAUGGCUGGAAGAACCAGAAGGAAGAGGAUCACUGCAGAUCAAAGACAUUCUAAAAUAGAGAGAGCCAGAGAAAAGGAGUCACUUUUUUUUUGUAUAUUCCCUUGAACUAUAUACACAGGAUAGCUCCAAUAAGCCCAAAUGAGAGUAGAAUUACAAAACAGAGAUUUUAACUACCUCCCACCCAGGGGAGCAUAAGUUUGGAGAUUGAGUUCAGACAAAUUAAAUGCCUGUUAAAACAAACAAAGCAAAAGUCAAAGCUCUUUAGAGGAAUAUAAAAGGAUAUACCAUCUCUAAAAUGUAUCAUUCAUAAUGUUCAGUAUACUAUACACAAUUACUAGACAUACAAAGAAAGAGUAAUAUGUGACCCAUACUGCAGAGACAACAUUGUCAGUAGGAACUGAUCUGAGGUGAGCCAGAUGUUGAAAUUAUCAGAUUUUUUUGUUUUUGAGGCAUAGUCUCACUCUUUCCCCUGGGCUGGGGUGCAGUAGUGCGAUCAUAGCUCACUGCAGCCUCGACCUCCUGGGCUCAAGCCAUACUCCCACCUCAGCACAUCGAAUAGGUGAGACUAGAGGCAUGCACCACCACACCCAGCUAAUUUUUAUAGUUUUGUAGAGAUGGGGUUGUGCCAAAUCAGACAAACAUUUUAAAGUAGCCAUGAUAACUAUAUUCAAGGAUAUAAAGGAAAAUAUGUUUAUAAUAAAUUAAUAAAUAAUUCAACAAAUAAAUAGAAAUUAUUUAAAAUAUAGAGGAGACUCAGAUCUUGCUACAUGGAAAAAUAAAACUUUCCAGCCUUCACAAAACCUAGGUUGAGUGAAGUAGUUGGGAUAAGAAAGGGAGAUAAUGGAGAGAAGUAAUGUUUAAAUAUAUGCAGAAGUAAUUUUUAAAUCAAUAAAUAAAGUAGAGAGCAGUCUGCCUUGAAGAGAUUUUUGGACAUAGCCUUUGUCUGAUGGACUGAACUGCAAUAGGAUUCAUAAGAAAUCCACAUGUUUGAAAAAGAGUAUUAUACCACCGUAAGCAUUGACUAUUUGGACUAAGAGGGACACAGAUGUUCACAACAGGCAGAAAGCCCAGGCAGAGAAAGCGGCUCAGCUGCAAAAACAGGCCUUUUCUUAUGGAAAAAGAAUGAAUCAGAGGGAGAAACCGAGAGCUAACAGAGCAGAAAAUAUGAUCCCAGGGAAGAUGACCAACUUUUAAUAAAG
ensembl:lncRNA